GACGGAGGAGGCAAGCGUUCUCCGGAAUUACUGGGCGUAAAGCGUACGUAGGCGGCUUAUCAAGUCUGGGGUCAAAGACCACAGCUUAACUGUGGAAAGGCCUUGGAAACUGGUGAGCUGGAGUGAGGUAGGGGUUGCGGGAAUUCCCGGUGUAGCGGUGAAAUGCGUAGAUAUCGGGAAGAACACCUGAGGCGAAAGCGCGCGACUGGGCCUUAACUGACGCUGAGGUACGAAAGCUAGGGGAGCGAAUGGG
rnacentral:rRNA from 1 species